UACGGGGGGGGUAAGCGUUGUUCGGAAUUACUGGGCGUAAAGGGCUCGUAGGCGGCCAACUAAGUCAGACGUGAAAUCCCUCAGCUUAACUGGGGAACUGCGUCUGAUACUGGAUGGCUUGGAUCCGGAAGAGGGAUGCGGAAUUCCAGGUGUAGCGGUGAAAUGCGUAGAUAUCUGGAGGAACACCGGUGGCGAAGGCGGCAUCCUGGGCCGGUAUCGACGCUGAGGAGCGAAAGCCAGGGGAGCAAACGGG
rnacentral:rRNA from 1 species